GGCUGCUCUUCUUCUGAGAACCUCUUUCUCUUCCUCCGGCAAAAGAGGCUGGUGAGCCCUAGGAUGAUGGCAGUGAUCACUCCGCCAACGGCAGCAGCUGCAACAAGCCACUGCCAGAUCUGACUUGCUUGCUCCAAAGGUCCAUGGACUUUACCACUCCACCAAAGGAUCCAUGAUAUACAAGGAAGUUGACAUGGCAAAUUCAAGCAUCUCCUGCCAGUCUAAGAAGGCUUUCAGUACAGGGCCAAUGAUACAAUGUGGCUCUGUUUGAGCAUGUUUGACUAAGGUUGAAGAGGCUCAUUACUAAGUUGUUCAAAGGGUGACAAAUUUCCAAAGAGAGCAAUUCUCCACGAACAGAUAGGAAGAAUGAAACUAUAUGACCCCAAACCAAUAAAAUGGUACAUUUGUCAA